rnacentral:rRNA from 1 species
GACGAACGCUGGCGGCGCGCCUAACACAUGCAAGUCGAACGAGAGAGAAGGAGCUUGCUUCUUCGAUCGAGUGGCGAACGGGUGAGUAACGCGUGAGGAACCUGCCUCAAAGAGGGGGACAACAGUUGGAAACGACUGCUAAUACCGCAUAAGCCCACGGGUCGGCAUCGACCAGAGGGAAAAGGAGCAAUCCGCUUUGAGAUGGCCUCGCGUCCGAUUAGCUAGUUGGUGAGGUAAUGGCCCACCAAGGCGACGAUCGGUAGCCGGACUGAGAGGUUGAACGGCCACAUUGGGACUGAGACACGGCCCAGACUCCUACGGGAGGCAGCAGUGGGGAAUAUUGCACAAUGGGGGAAACCCUGAUGCAGCGACGCCGCGUGGAGGAAGAAGGUCUUCGGAUUGUAAACUCCUGUUGUUGAGGAA